UUUUUCUUUUUCUUUUUUUUUUUUUUCCAAAGAGAAUACUGUUUAUUUUUAACAGGCCACUUUAAUAUUAAUACAUGUGUAAUAGGAUCCAAACUGAAAAUCUGCUAAAGAUGGUAAAUUUUACAUUAUUGGGAAAAUUACAAUUUGUUUUGUAUUGUAAAAACAUUUAUUUUUAACAAUUUACCUACAUUAAUCAAAAAAGUACAGCAUAUUUAAUAAUUUUACAAAUUCUUCAUAAAAAAUAUAUCUCUGUACAAAAAGUUCUUUUGCACCUACUUCAUGUCACAGCAGCAUGUAGUGAAAUGGCAGAAUGAAGUACUGGGAAUGAAAAUUAGAUUGACUUGAUCAUAAUGCCGGCGUUCUUUCCCAAUUCCCCCCCUCCCCCUCGCCCUCCCACCUAUUUGUUGUGUUGUUUUUUUUCUUUUGUUUUUGUUUUUUUAAUAACAGCCUUUAUUUGUUUACAAAAUAUUUUACACAAGAAAAAAAAUUAUUGCAGCUAGCCUGGAGAAAGGCAAGAUGUGUGAUACAAGCAGCAGUUUUUAACAGCUUUGAAGCACAUAACCUGUUUAAAAAAAAAAAAAUAGAUAGCAUGUCUUAUUAGCCCAUCGUAAUGAUCUGGUCAACACUGGGGGAAAAGUCUUCUGCAUAUAUCUCAGAAAGUAGAUUUCCUGGCUGACAUUAUCUGGCCACCGUACAACAUAUUAAGAGUCUUAUUCUGAUGAAGCACCAUACACAGCCCUCUGUAAAACAACUUCAGGAGAAAGAGAUCCAACCUGAACAGAAGACUCAAACAUAUGGAGAAGGAGAGGUAUUUGAGGGUCAUGGAUAGAACUGAUAGAACCAGGGGUUCUUUCCUUUUACAGGUUCAAGUCUAAAGCUUCUGUUUAAGCAGUACUCCAAAUAAACUUCUUGGGAUAACGUGUCAGUGUGCUCCAACUCUGAGCAUCUCUUAUCAGAGAACACUCAGUUAGGAAAAACAAUUCUUGAAUAACUUCCUAAAAAUGUAUCACUGGGUAAAGAAUGCAGAGAAUCUGUGCUCUCAUAAAAAUAAAAAAUAGAAUAAAAAGACCAAAGAAUUUAACAACUAUCUUUCUGUGAACUUUCCUUCAGUGCAUUCCUCAGUGGUCAUAAUGACAUAGGUCACUUAAGAAUACACUGCACAGAAAAUAUCAAUAGUAACUACUUAGGUAGAAUUUUGCACUUCUUUUCAAUAUUCUUCUCUCUUCUUUUUUUUUUUUUUUUUUUUUUUUUCCUUUCUUUUCUUCUCUUUUCUUUUCUUUUCUGCUAUCACCACUGCAGAAAGACUUCCAAAGCAGUAGCAAUGAUUUUGAACACCUGCCAAAAACUUUAAUCACACAGCAGCUUCCCUCCCUGGCCCACUGUUUCUAAGGAAGAUAUUCAUUUGCAGAGUAGCUUCCUGUACGUAGGGUGAGAUCACAAAAACUUUGAUAUGAUGAUUUUGUUCUUUCUCAAGAAAGGUGAAAGACUCUGAGAUAUGACAGAUAAAUGAAACUUACUCCAGAAACAAAC
rnacentral:lncRNA from 1 species